GCUUGUCUCAAAGAUUAAGCCAUGCAUGUGCAAGUACAUACCUUAUUAAGGUGAAACCGCGAAAAGCUCAUUAAAUCAGUUACGGUUCAUUGGAUAUUAAUUUUUUACAUGGAUAACUGUGGUAAAUCUAGAGCUAAUACGUGCACAAAAGCUUUGACCUUUUAGGAAAAAGCGCAUUUAUUAGACCAAGACCAAUGGUCCUUGUGACCUCAAACUUGGUGACUCUGAAUAACUGAGCUAAUCGCAUGGCCUAUGCGCCGGCGAUAUAUCCUUAAAGCGUCUGCCUUAUCAACUGUAGAUGGUAGGUUAUGUGCCUACCAUGGUUGUAACAGGUGACGGGGAAUCAGGGUUCGAUUCCGGAGAGGGAGCCUGAGAAACGGCUACCACAUCCAAGGAAGGCAGCAGG
rnacentral:rRNA from 1 species